CUUUUCUUGUUAGUUUUUGAAGUAUGGCCUGCCCACUGACUAUUGUUGAAGGGCCGCGGUAUUUUGACCGUGCAAAGGUAGCAUAAUCAUUAGUUCUUUAAUUGUGAUCUGGUAUGAAUGGCUUGACGAGACAUGACCUGUCUUAGGAGUAUUGUUUAUUGAAUUUGGUUUUUGAGUUAAAAUUCUUAAAUGUUUUUAUGGGACGAGAAGACCCUAUAGAGUUUAACAUUUUUUCUGUUUGUGUAUUGUUUGAUUUUAUUUAUUAAAUGGGAAUAUUUUGUUUUGUUGGGGUGAUGGGAGGCAUUUAUUUAACUCCUCUUUAUUUUUGUAUAUUUAUGCAUAUUUUUUUGAUCCAUUUAUUUUGAUUGUAAGAUUAAAUUACC
rnacentral:rRNA from 1 species